rnacentral:rRNA from 1 species
AGAACGAACGCUGGCGGCAGGCCUAACACAUGCAAGUCGAGCGCCCGUAGCAAUACGGGAGCGGCAGACGGGAUAGUAACACGUGGGAACGCGCCCUUCGGUUCGGAAUAACUCAGGGAAACUUGAGCUAAUACCGGAUACGCCCUUACGGGGAAAGAUUUAUUGCCGAAGGAACGGCCCGCGUCCGAUUAGCUAGUUGGUGAGGUAAUGGCUCACCAAGGCGACGAUCGGUAGCUGGUCUGAGAGGAUGACCAGCAUCACUGGGACUGAGACACGGCCCAGACUCCUACGGGAGGCAGCAGUGGGGAAUAUUGGACAAUGGGCGCAAGCCUGAUCCAGCCAUGCCGCGUGGAUGAUGAAGGCCUUAGGGUUGUAAAGUCCUUUUAACGGGGAAGAUAAUGACGGUACCCGUAGAAUAAGCCCCGGCUAACUUCGUGCCAGCAGCCGC